rnacentral:rRNA from 1 species
AUUGAACGCUGGCGGCAGGCCUAACACAUGCAAGUCGAGCGGAGCGGCGGACGGGUGAGUAAUGCCUAGGAAUCUGCCUGGUAGUGGGGGAUAACGACCGGAAACGGGCGCUAAUACCGCAUACUCUCAGAUGAGCCUAGGUCGGAUGUGCUAGUUGGUGGGGUAAAGGCAUACCAGGGCGACGAUCCGUAACUGGUCUGAGAGGAUGAUCAGCCACACUGGAACUGAGACACGGUCCAGACUCCUACGGGAGGCAGCAGUGGGGAAUAGUGGACAAGUGGCGAAAGCCUGAUCCAGCCAUGCCGCGUGUGUGAAGAAGGUCUUCGGAUUGUAAAGCACUUUAAGUUGGGAGGCGUUACCAACAGAAUAAGCACCGGCUAACUUCGUGCCAGCAGCCGCGGUAAUUC